rnacentral:rRNA from 1 species
UACAGAGGCCUCGAGCGUUAGGCGGAAUCACUGGGCUUAAAGCGUGUGUAGGCGGAUUGGUAAGUACCUUGUGAAAUCCCACAGCUUAACUGUGGAACUGCUCGGUAUACUGCUGAUCUUGAGCCACUCAGGGGCUACCGGAACAAAUGGUGGAGCGGUGAAAUGCGUAGAUAUCAUUUGGAACGCCAAUGGUGAAAACAGGUAGCUGGGGGUGUGCUGACGCUGAGACACGAAAGCCAGGGGAGCAAACGGGG